UACGAAGGGGGGCUAGCGUUGCUCGGAAUUACUGGGCGUAAAGGGCGCGUAGGCGGAUAGUUUAGUCAGAGGUAAAAGCCCAGGGCUCAACCUUGGAACUGCCUUUGAUACUGGCUAUCUUGAGUUCGGGAGAGGUGAGUGGAAUGCCGAGUGUAGAGGUGAAAUUCGUAGAUAUUCGGCGGAACACCAGUGGCGAAGGCGACUCACUGGCCCGAUACUGACGCUGAGGCGCGAAAGCGUGGGGAGCAAACAGGG
rnacentral:rRNA from 1 species